UCGCUGGCAGUGUAAUGAUCCAGCAGCACAAUGUGCUGGCAAAUGAUCCAGCUGUUGGAGUGAGCCUGGGCUGUUGGGGCAGCUGGUGAGGAGUAGAGUUUGAUACAUGCAAGUCAGAAGCUUAUUUCUCAGAGUUCUGGAGGCUGAAAAAUCCAAGACUGAGGUUCCAGCCAGCAUGGUUCCAGUCUCGCCCAGAGAUGCGCACAGCCGGUGCGCCGUGGCUCUCGGACGCUAGGUGGCGCUGUCUGCAGCUCAGCGUCCUCGCCCCGCCGGGCUUGAGGUGCAGCCGCGCCUGCAGGGGGUUUCAGAAGGGGCAUCAGCAGUGAUGCGUCCCGUCCUUCCCCAGGCCUGGCUAACAAGGAGGAAGGAAGAACACAUUCCCAAGGGAAAAGAGACACUGCGAGAAUCACAGACCAACCGGUUGCGGGAAAACUGCGGGGAGAAAGAAAUUUACUUGCAAAAAAAUGGUGAAGG
rnacentral:lncRNA from 1 species